rnacentral:rRNA from 1 species
ACGAUGAAGAGUUUGAUCCUGGCUCAGGAUGAACGCUAGCGGCAGGCUUAACACAUGCAAGUCGAGGGGUAACAUUGUAGCUUGCUACAGAUGACGACCGGCGAACGGGUGCGUAACGCGUAUACAAUCUACCUUAUACUGGGGUAUAGCCUUUAGAAAUGAAGAUUAACCCCCCAUAGUCUCUUCUGGUGGCAUCACCUAAAGAGUAAAGGUUACGGUAUAAGAUGAGUAUGCGUUCUAUUAGUUUGUUGGUAAGGUAACGGCUUACCAAGACUACGAUAGAUAGGGGCCCUGAGAGGGGGAUCCCCCACACUGGUACUGAGACACGGACCAGACUCCUACGGGAGGCAGCAGUGAGGAAUAUUGGACAAUGGAGGCAACUCUGAUCCAGCCAUGCCGCGUGUAGGAUGACUGCCCUAUGGGUUGUAAACUACUUUUAUACAGGAAGAAACACCUCUACGUGUAGAGGUUUGACGGUACUGUAAGAAUAAGGAUCGGCUAACUCCGUGCCAGCAGCCGCGGUAAUACGGAGGAUCCAAGCGUUAUCCGGAAUCAUUGGGUUUAAAGGGUCCGUAGGUGGAUAAUUAAGUCAGAGGUGAAAUCUUGCAGCUCAACUGUAAAAUUGCCUUUGAUACUGGUUAUCUUGAGUUAUUAUGAAGUAGUUAGAAUAUGUAGUGUAGCGGUGAAAUGCAUAGAUAUUACAUAGAAUACCAAUUGCGAAGGCAGAUUACUAAUAAUCAACUGACACUGAUGGACGAAAGCGUGGGUAGCGAACAGGAUUAGAUACCCUGGUAGUCCACGCCGUAAACGAUGGUUACUAGCUGUUUGGACUUCGGUCUGAGUGGCUAAGCGAAAGUGAUAAGUAACCCACCUGGGGAGUACGUUCGCAAGAAUGAAACUCAAAGGAAUUGACGGGGGCCCGCACAAGCGGUGGAGCAUGUGGUUUAAUUCGAUGAUACGCGAGGAACCUUACCAGGGCUUAAAUGUAAGUUGCAUUAGUUAGAGAUAGCUAUUUCUUCGGACCACUUACAAGGUGCUGCAUGGUUGUCGUCAGCUCGUGCCGUGAGGUGUCAGGUUAAGUCCUAUAACGAGCGCAACCCCUGUUGUUAGUUGCCAGCGAGUCAUGUCGGGAACUCUAACAAGACUGCCAGUGCAAACUGUGAGGAAGGUGGGGAUGACGUCAAAUCAUCACGGCCCUUACGUCCUGGGCUACACACGUGCUACAAUGGUAGGGACAGAGAGCAGCCACUACGCGAGUAGGAGCGAAUCUAUAAACCCUAUCACAGUUCGGAUCGGAGUCUGCAACUCGACUCCGUGAAGCUGGAAUCGCUAGUAAUCGGAUAUCAGCCAUGAUCCGGUGAAUACGUUCCCGGGCCUUGUACACACCGCCCGUCAAGCCAUGGAAGUUGGAAGUGCCUGAAGUCCGUCACCGCAAGGAGCGGCCUAGGGUAAAGUCGAUAACUAGGGCUAAGUCGUAACAAGGUAGCCGUACCGGAAGGUGCGGCUGGAACACCUCCUUU